UGAAUACGAGAUGCUACGGCGUCGAAGCAGUCUAUGUCAUACUUCCAAGAAAAGCUUGCACUGUCAUAAACAAAUAAUGCCUGUACCAUAACCGACACAGGUGGGUAGGUAGAGUAUACUAAGGGGCGCGAGAUAACUCUCUCUAAGGAACUCGGCAAAAUGACUCCGUAACUUCGGGAGAAGGAGUGCCUUAUUUAUAAGGUUGCAAUAACAAGAUCCAAGCAACUGUUUACCAAAAACACAGGUCUCCGCUAAGUCGUAAGACGAUGUAUGGGGGCUGACGCCUGCCCAGUGCCAGAAGGUUAAAGAAGUUGGUUAGCAUCCGCGAAGCUGAUAACUGAAGCCCUGGUGAACGGCGGCCGUAACAAUAACGGUCCUAAGGUAGCGAAAUUCCUUGUCGGGUAAGUUCCGACCCGCACGAAAGGCGUAAUGAUUUGGAUACUGUCUCGGAGAGGGGCUCGGUGAAAUAGACUUGUCUGUGAAGAUGCGGACUACCUGCACCAGGACAGAAAGACCCUAUGAAGCUUUACUGUAACCUGAAAUUGAAAUUGGACUUUACUUGCGCAGUAUAGGUGGGAGGCGUUGAGAAUAUUCUUGCGGGAUUAUUGGAGCCAUCAGUGAGAUACCACUCUUGUAAUGUUAGAUUUCUAACUUUGUAUCAUUAUCUGGUCAAAGAACAGUUUCAGGCGGGCAGUUUGACUGGGGCGGUCGCCUCCUAAACGGUAACGGAGGCGCACAAAGGUUUCCUCUGAACGGGUAGAAAUCGUAUCUAGAGUGUAAAGGCAUAAGGAAGCUUGACUGUGAGACCUACAAGUCGAGCAGGGACGAAAGUCGGUCUUAGUGAUCUGACGGUGCUGAGUGGAAAGGCCGUCACUCAACGGAUAAAAGUUACUCUAGGAUAACAGACUGAUCUCCCCCAAGAGUUCACAUCGACGGGGAGGUUUGGCACCUCGAUGUCGGCUCAUCGCAUCCUGGGGCGGUAGUACGUCCCAAGGGUUGGGCUGUUCGCCCAUGAAAGCGGUACGCGAGCUGGGUUCAGAACGUCGUGAGACAGUUCGGUCCAUAUCCGGUGUAGGCGUUAGAAUAUUGAGAGGAGCCUUCUUUAGUACGAGAGGACCGAGAAGGACAUACCUCUGGUGUACCAGUUAUCGUGCCAACGGUAAACGCUGGGUAGCUAUGUGUGGAGUGGAUAACCGCUGAAAGCAUCUAAGUGGGAAGCCCACCUCAAGAUAAG
rnacentral:rRNA from 1 species